rnacentral:rRNA from 1 species
GAGGAAUAUUGGUCAAUGGGCGAGAGCCUGAACCAGCCAAGUAGCGUGCAGGAUGACGGCCCUCCGGGUUGUAAACUGCUUUUAGUUGGGAAUAAAAAAAGGGACUUGUCCCUUCUUGUAUGUACCUUCAGAAAAAGGACCGGCUAAUUCCGUGCCAGCAGCCGCGGUAAUACGGAAGGUCCAGGCGUUAUCCGGAUUUAUUGGGUUUAAAGGGAGCGUAGGCGGAUUGUUAAGUCAGCGGUUAAAGGGUGUGGCUCAACCAUGCAUUGCCGUUGAAACUGGCGAUCUUGAGUGCAGACAGGGAUGCCGGAAUUCGUGGUGUGGCGGUGAAAUGCUUAGAUAUCACGAAGAACUCCGAUCGCGAAGGCAGGUGUCCGGGCUGCAACUGACGCUGAGGCUCGAAAGUGUGGGUAUCAAACAGGAUUAGAUACCCUGGUAGUCCACACAGUAAACGAUGUAUACUCGCGGUUUGCGAUAGAUUGUAAGCCGCCAAGCGAAAGCAUUAAGUAUACCACCUGGGGAGUACGCCGGCAACGGUG